rnacentral:rRNA from 1 species
GAUGAACGCUGGCGGCGUGCCUAAUACAUGCAAGUCGAGCGAACAGACGAGGAGCUUGCUCCUCUGACGUUAGCGGCGGACGGGUGAGUAACACGUGGAUAACCUCCCUAUAAGACUGGGAUAACUUCGGGAAACCGGAGCUAAUACCGUAUAAUAUAUUGAACCGCAUGGUUCAAUAGUGAAAGACGGUUUUGCUGUCACUUAUAGAUGGAUCCGCGCCGCAUUAGCUAGUUGGUAAGGUAACGGCUUACCAAGGCAACGAUGCGUAGCCGACCUGAGAGGGUGAUAGGCCACACUGGAACGGAGACACGGACCAGACUCCUACGGGAGGCAGCAGUAGGGAAUCUUCCGCAAUGGGCGAAAGCUUGACGGAGCAACGCCGCGUGAGUGAUGAAGGUCUUCGGAUCGUAAAACUCUGUUAUUAGGGAAGAACAAAUGUGUAAGUAACUAUGCACGUCUUGACGGUACCUGAUCAGAAAGCCACGGCUAACUACGUG